GUGGGGAAUAUUGGACAAUGGGCGAAAGCCUGAUCCAGCCAUGCCGCGUGUGUGAAGAAGGUCUUCGGAUUGUAAAGCACUUUAAGUUGGGAGGAAGGGCAGUAAGUUAAUACCUUGCUGUUUUGACGUUACCAACAGAAUAAGCACCGGCUAACUUCGUGCCAGCAGCCGCGGUAAUACGAAGGGUGCAAGCGUUAAUCGGAAUUACUGGGCGUAAAGCGCGCGUAGGUGGUUCAGCACGUUGGAGGUGAAAUCCCCGGGCUCAACCUGGGAACUGACUCCAAAACUACUGAGCUAGAGUACGGUAGAGGGUAGUGGAAUUUCCUGUGUAGCGGUGAAAUGCGUAGAUAUAGGAAGGAACACCAGUGGCGAAGGCGACUACCUGGACUGAUACUGACACUGAGGUGCGAAAGCGUGGGGAGCAAACAGGAUUAGAAACCCGAGUAGUCC
rnacentral:rRNA from 1 species